UACGAAGGGGGCUAGCGUUGCUCGGAAUCACUGGGCGUAAAGCGCACGUAGGCGGACUCUUAAGUCGGUGGUGAAAUCCUGGAGCUCAACUCCAGAACUGCCUUCGAUACUGAGAGUCUCGAGUCCGAGAGAGGUGAGUGGAACUGCGAGUGUAGAGGUGAAAUUCGUAGAUAUUCGCAAGAACACCAGUGGCGAAGGCGACUCUUUGGCCUGUAACUGACGCUGAGGCGCGAAAGCGUGGGGAGCAAACAGG
rnacentral:rRNA from 1 species